rnacentral:rRNA from 1 species
UACGUAGGGUGCGAGCGUUAUCCGGAAUUAUUGGGCGUAAAGAGCUCGUAGGCGGUUUGUCGCGUCUGCCGUGAAAGUCCGGGGCUCAACUCCGGAUCUGCGGUGGGUACGGGCAGACUAGAGUGAUGUAGGGGAGACUGGAAUUCCUGGUGUAGCGGUGAAAUGCGCAGAUAUCAGGAGGAACACCAAUGGCGAAGGCAGCUCGCUGGGACGGUACUGACGCUGAGGCGCGAAAGCGUGGGGAGCAAACAGG